rnacentral:rRNA from 1 species
UACGUAGGGGGCAAGCGUUGUCCGGAAUCAUUGGGCGUAAAGCGCGUGUAGGCGGACCAGUAAGUCCGCUCUGAAAGCCCGGGGCUCAACCCCGGGAGGCGGGUGGAUACUGCUGGGCUCGAGUCCGGAAGAGGCGAGUGGAAUUCCUGGUGUAGCGGUGAAAUGCGUAGAUAUCAAGUGGAACACCAGUGGCGAAGGCGAGUCUCUGGACAUUUCCUGACGCUGAGGCACGAAAGCCAGGGGAGCAAACGGG